ACCCCAAAACAUUAAACUUGGAACAAGACCCUUAAUACGCCGAACAUUCAAAGUUGAGACACCAUGAAACAACUGGCCAUAAGAAUGGAAGAUGCAAACAUAGAAUAUAGUACUGAACACUUGCUCCUUGUGCCACUACAAAGGUCAGCUUCAAGCUUACAAAUACACUUCAAGAGCCUAUUAAUGGAGAUACGACUAAUAUCAAAGAUAUUUUUAUUUUACAACAAUUUUAUGUUGCCACCACUA
rnacentral:lncRNA from 1 species